rnacentral:rRNA from 4 species
AGUGCAUCAGGCGGAUGCCUUGGCGAUGAUAGGCGACGAAGGACGUGUAAGCCUGCGAAAAGCGCGGGGGAGCUGGCAAUAAAGCUAUGAUUCCGCGAUGUCCGAAUGGGGAAACCCACUGCAUUCUGUGCAGUAUCCUAAGUUGAAUACAUAGGCUUAGAGAAGCGAACCCGGAGAACUGAACCAUCUAAGUACCCGGAGGAAAAGAAAUCAACCGAGAUUCCGCAAGUAGUGGCGAGCGAACGCGGAGGAGCCUGUACGUAAUAACUGUCGAGAUAGAAGAACAAGCUGGGAAGCUUGACCAUAGCGGGUGACAGUCCCGUAUUCGAAAUCUCAACAGCGGUACUAAGCGUACGAAAAGUAGGGCGGGACACGUGAAAUCCUGUCUGAAUAUGGGGGGACCAUCCUCCAAGGCUAAAUACUCAUCAUCGACCGAUAGUGAACCAGUACCGUGAGGGAAAGGCGAAAAGAACCCCGGGAGGGGAGUGAAACAGAACCUGAAACCUGAUGCAUACAAACAGUGGGAGCGCCCUAGUGGUGUGACUGCGUACCUUUUGUAUAAUGGGUCAACGACUUACAUUCAGUAGCGAGCUUAACCGGAUAGGGGAGGCGUAGGGAAACCGAGUCUUAAUAGGGCGAUGAGUUGCUGGGUGUAGACCCGAAACCGAGUGAUCUAUCCAUGGUCAGGUUGAAGGUGCCGUAACAGGUACUGGAGGACCGAACCCACGCAUGUUGCAAAAUGCGGGGAUGAGCUGUGGGUAGGGGUGAAAGGCUAAACAAACUCGGAGAUAGCUGGUUCUCCCCGAAAACUAUUUAGGUAGUGCCUCGAGCAAGACACUGAUGGGGGUAAAGCACUGUUAUGGCUAGGGGGUUAUUGCAACUUACCAACCCAUGGCAAACUCAGAAUACCAUCAAGUGGUUCCUCGGGAGACAGACAGCGGGUGCUAACGUCCGUUGUCAAGAGGGAAACAACCCAGACCGCCGGCUAAGGUCCCAAAUGAUAGAUUAAGUGGUAAACGAAGUGGGAAGGCACAGACAGCCAGGAUGUUGGCUUAGAAGCAGCCAUCAUUUAAAGAAAGCGUAAUAGCUCACUGGUCGAGUCGUCCUGCGCGGAAGAUGUAACGGGGCUCAAAUCUAUAACCGAAGCUGCGGAUGCCGGUUUACCGGCAUGGUAGGGGAGCGUUCUGUAGGCUGAUGAAGGUGCAUUGUAAAGUGUGCUGGAGGUAUCAGAAGUGCGAAUGUUGACAUGAGUAGCGAUAAAGCGGGUGAAAAGCCCGCUCGCCGAAAGCCCAAGGUUUCCUACGCAACGUUCAUCGGCGUAGGGUAAGUCGGCCCCUAAGGCGAGGCAGAAAUGCGUAGUCGAUGGGAAACAGGUUAAUAUUCCUGUACUUGAUUCAAAUGCGAUGUGGGGACGGAGAAGGUUAGGUUGGCAAGCUGUUGGAAUAGCUUGUUUAAGCCGGUAGGUGGAAGACUUAGGCAAAUCCGGGUUUUCUUAACACCGAGAAGUGAUGACGAGUGUCUACGGACACGAAGCAACCGAUACCACGCUUCCAGGAAAAGCCACUAAGCUUCAGUUUGAAUCGAACCGUACCGCAAACCGACACAGGUGGGCAGGAUGAGAAUUCUAAGGCGCUUGAGAGAACUCGGGAGAAGGAACUCGGCAAAUUGAUACCGUAACUUCGGGAGAAGGUAUGCCCUCUAAGGUUAAGGACUUGCUCCGUAAGCCCCGGAGGGUCGCAGAGAAUAGGUGGCUGCGACUGUUUAUUAAAAACACAGCACUCUGCCAACACGAAAGUGGACGUAUAGGGUGUGACGCCUGCCCGGUGCCGGAAGGUUAAUUGAAGAUGUGCAAGCAUCGGAUCGAAGCCCCGGUAAACGGCGGCCGUAACUAUAACGGUCCUAAGGUAGCGAAAUUCCUUGUCGGGUAAGUUCCGACCCGCACGAAUGGCGUAACGAUGGCCACACUGUCUCCUCCCGAGACUCAGCGAAGUUGAAGUGGUUGUGAAGAUGCAAUCUACCCGCUGCUAGACGGAAAGACCCCGUGAACCUUUACUGUAGCUUUGCAUUGGACUUUGAAGUCACUUGUGUAGGAUAGGUGGGAGGCUUGGAAGCAGAGACGCCAGUCUCUGUGGAGUCGUCCUUGAAAUACCACCCUGGUGUCUUUGAGGUUCUAACCCAGACCCGUCAUCCGGGUCGGGGACCGUGCAUGGUAGGCAGUUUGACUGGGGCGGUCUCCUCCCAAAGCGUAACGGAGGAGUUCGAAGGUUACCUAGGUCCGGUCGGAAAUCGGACUGAUAGUGCAAUGGCAAAAGGUAGCUUAACUGCGAGACCGACAAGUCGGGCAGGUGCGAAAGCAGGACAUAGUGAUCCGGUGGUUCUGUAUGGAAGGGCCAUCGCUCAACGGAUAAAAGGUACUCCGGGGAUAACAGGCUGAUUCCGCCCAAGAGUUCAUAUCGACGGCGGAGUUUGGCACCUCGAUGUCGGCUCAUCACAUCCUGGGGCUGUAGUCGGUCCCAAGGGUAUGGCUGUUCGCCAUUUAAAGUGGUACGUGAGCUGGGUUUAAAACGUCGUGAGACAGUUUGGUCCCUAUCUGCAGUGGGCGUUGGAAGUUUGACGGGGGCUGCUCCUAGUACGAGAGGACCGGAGUGGACGAACCUCUGGUGUACCGGUUGUAACGCCAGUUGCAUAGCCGGGUAGCUAAGUUCGGAAGAGAUAAGCGCUGAAAGCAUCUAAGCGCGAAACUCGCCUGAAGAUGAGACUUCCCUUGCGGUUUAACCGCACUAAAGGGUCGUUCGAGACCAGGACGUUGA